rnacentral:rRNA from 1 species
UAAUACGGGGGGUGCAAGCGUUGUUCGGAAUCAUUGGGCGUAAAGAGCGUGUAGGCGGCUGGAUAAGUCAGAUGUGAAAGCCCUGGGCUCAACCCAGGAAGUGCAUUUGAUACUGUCCUGCUAGAGUAGGGAAGAGGGAAGUGGAAUUCCUGGUGUAGAGGUGAAAUUCGUAGAUAUCAGGAGGAACACCGGUGGCGAAGGCGACUUCCUGGUCCUAUACUGACGCUGAGACGCGAGAGCGUGGGGAGCAAACAGG